UCGUGAUAAACAAGCGGAUUAUGCCUCGUGUCGUUCAAAAGAGAUAAAUGCUGUAGGAAAAGAACAAGCACAGCCCAGUGAGGGGAGCAGGAGCUGGGGUGUGCGGGGCUGCUGGUUGCAGUUGUGGGUAGGGGGAGCCAGCUCGGCCUCAUUAGGAAGGUGAUACUUGACAAAAUCUUGAAGGAAGUGGGGACCACAUCUUGCGGCUGUCUGAGGGAGGAACGGCUGGGGGGCGGGAACAGCAGGUGCGGAAGCCCCGAGGCAGGGCCUGCCUGUGUGGAGAGGGGCAGCAUGGCCCUGGCCCAGCCCGCCUGCUCAGCCCCCAUGGCGGAAGGUCAGUGGCCAGCCUGUGCCACCGUCCUGUGGGAGGCACUGCCGAGUCAGGGACAGGGGCAGGACCAGGCUGACCACCGAGUCGCUUGCUCGCCCCCCCCUCAUCCAUCCAUCUACUAACUCAUCGGCAAACACGCGUGGCUCCUGCAGCGUGCCAGGUGCUGGGGGUCCACGCGGUGGACAAACAGGCAAAAACCCACCCUUCGCGGAGCUGACCUUAUAGCACGGGGGAAAAAACCAAGGUAAUGACAAGAAAAAGAGGUUCUGGAGCAACAAGAACUCUCUUUCAGUACCUCUUCGGUAAGCUGUUUGACAUCCGUUACUAAAGCUAAACACACACAGGCCGCCCUCUCGGCAGCUCCUGGAACUACAUCCACGUGGUGCUGAGACAGCAAGUGCUGCUCACAGCGGCCUCCAAACUGAACACGCCGCCAAAUGUCCACCAGCAGUAAGGGAAAUUGCAGUGUAUUUCUACAGUGAAAUAUACAACAAUGAAAAUGAACAAAUUACAGCUACAUAUGUGUAUAACGACACUCAUGUGAAUCUCCGAAAUGUAACGUUGAGCCAAAGAAAGCAGAUACAAAAACA